CGAAUCCGUAACAGUGCGGAAUAUCAGAAGUGACUUUUUGGAAAAGGGAAUGGACCAGAAACUGUGGAAAAUUAUUAUAUAGCUGGAGUGUGACAACAUAGGAUGAUCUAUACUGUAAAAAGUGUUGUUCAUAACCGAAAGCAAUCUAUCCCCAUUUUUGGAAUUCAGUAAGAAGAAAAGGCCUUUAAAGUUAGAUGUAGAUCGAAAAUCUGAAGAAAACAAUGAAUAUGGAGCUAAUUCAACCGGGCAAUAUCGUCCGGUAAUGAAUUGUUGAUUUGCAUUCGCAAGUAAUGAAAAUUUUUACAGGUUGUCUUCACAAUUUGCUGAUGGGAGAAAUUCUUCGAAGAUCUCACCAAACGUUCUUCCGAAAUACUCAACGUCUUGCGAAGUCUCCUGUCACCAUAUCGAAUUACCAGGAAUGAUGAAAAAUAUUAUAGAUGGAGCUUUCAAAGACAAUGAAAUAGACGGGUGGAGUUCAAUCGGAGAACAGAGAUUACGGGGUGGCUCCGGAUGUCAUUGUGGCCAGAUUGCUUCCAAUCUAGAGUCAACCAUCCAUCAUGACUGUUAUUGGAAAAGUUCCAAGAGUUGUCAACCACCGCAAAACUCUUGUAAAAUCAACAGAGAUGGAAAUCGAGGAUUCUGUCAUGGUGGUUGCAGAGGAGGCUGGGACACAUGUUUACCAAAAAAAUCUCAAACUGCAGCAUCUGAAUCUUGCCAGAGACCUACUCAUUUACCUGUGAAGUCAGUCAGCUUUCGGUGAUGAAUUCUAUUUUUUUGAGAUUAUAAUGUUGAUUGAA